GAGGGUAUAGCUCGGUGGUAGGGUGUGUGCUUAGCAUGCAUGUGGUCCUGGGUUCAAUCCCCAGUACUUCCA
rnacentral:tRNA from 1 species